rnacentral:snoRNA from 1 species
GAGGGUAUGACGAUCCUUUCCCCAGAUGAUCGACGAUGAGCAUAAUGUGCGCUAUUGUUCUCUUAAGAACUAUGAUACUC